rnacentral:rRNA from 1 species
GGGGAAUAUUGGACAAUGGGGGCAACCCUGAUCCAGCCAUGCCGCGUGUGUGAAGAAGGCCUUCGGGUUGUAAAGCACUUUAAGCAGGGAGGAAGGCUCGCAGAUUAAUAAUCUGCGGGAGUGACGUUACCUGCAGAAUAAGCACCGGCAAACUCCGUGCCAGCAGCCGCGGUAAUACGGAGGGUGCGAGCGUUAAUCGGAAUUACUGGGCGUAAAGCGUACGUAGGCGGUUUGUUAAGUCGGAUGUGAAAUCCCCGGGCUCAACCUGGGUGCUGCAUUCGAUACUGGCAGACUUGAAUACGGUAGAGGGGGGUGGAAUUCCAGGUGUAGCGGUGAAAUGCGUAGAGAUCUGGAGGAACACCAGUGGCGAAGGCGGCCCCCUGGACCGAUAUUGACGCUGAGGUACGAAAGCGUGGGGAGCAAAC